AAGAAAAAAAGGUAUAACUACAGAGUGAAGAAAAUCCAUACUAUCAUCCCAAAAGGUGCCAUUGCAAUUAUUAAAUGUUGGAGUUAUUCAGCUAAAUGACAUCACAGAUUCACAGGAAUGGGCAGCUCCAGAAUUCUGUGAAGGGAGAUCCAGUAGAAUAGGGAAUUUGUUAUGAUGUUUUGCUGUUUUGCUUGUCUUAAUUUAAAAGACCUGGUUGUAAUAAUCAGACUUAUUGUUUAGCUGUGGAUUUGAAUAGAAUAUCUCUCCUUUCUUCUAUUAUUUCUCCCAUUUCUUCUAAGAUUUCUUCCCCGAUUUAUGAGCUUACCAGUGUGUUGGGUUCUUAAUUUAAGCUCAAGUUACAGCCUCUUACACAGAGCUUUCUCUCUAUUUCAUCAUGAUAUUUCUCC